rnacentral:rRNA from 1 species
CAAUAGCGUAUAUUAAAGUUGUUGCAGUUAGAACGCUCGUAGUCGGAUUUCGGGGCGGGCUGACCGGUCUGCCGAUGGGUACGCACUGGUCGGCGCGUCCUUCCUUCCGGAGACCGUGCCUACUCUUAACUGAGCGGGGGCGGGAGACGGAUCGUUUACUUUGAAAAAAUCAGAGUGUUUCAAGCAGGCAGCUCGCUCUUGCAUGGAUUAGCAUGGGAUAAUGAAAUAGGACUUUGGUGCUAUUUUGUUGGUUUCGAACACCGAAGUAAUGAUUAAAAGGGACAGUCAGGGGCACUCGUAUUCCGCCGAGAGAGGUGAAAUUCUCAGACCAGCGGAAGACGAACUACUGCGAAAGCAUUUGCCAGGGAUGUUUUCACUGA